GACGAACGCUGGCGGCGUGCUUAACACAUGCAAGUCGAACGGAAAGGCCCCUUUGGGGGUACUCGAGUGGCGCACGGGUGAGUAACACGUGAGUAACCUGCCCUUGACUUCGGGAUAACUUCAGGAAACUGGGGCUAAUACCGGAUAGGAAUCCUUGCUGCAUGGUGGGGGUUGGAAAGCUUCGGCGGUUUUGGAUGGACUCGCGGCUUAUCAGCUUGUUGGUGGGGUAGUGGCUUACCAAGGCUUUGACGGGUAGCCGGCCUGAGAGGGCGACCGGCCACAUUGGGACUGAGAUACGGCCCAGACUCCUACGGGAGGCAGCAGUGGGGAAUAUUGCACAAUGGGCGGAAGCCUGAUGCAGCAACGCCGCGUGCGGGAUGACGGCCUUCGGGUUGAAAAACGCUUUCAGCAGGGGCGAAGCUUGUGGUGACGGUACCUGCAGAAGAAGCACCGGCUAACUACGUG
rnacentral:rRNA from 1 species